GUCUGUGUGAUGAUCUCUCCAGAUUUUUUAAGGAGAAUGUGAAGCGCCCUGAGGCAACUGCUGUUGUGAUUUGGCACUAUAUAAAUAAAACUGAAUUCAACUGAACUCACUUUAAUAAGAGAGGUCCAAAAAAUCCCGUUGAGUUUCGUAUCAAUUUUACCUUUAAGCUUCUUUAAAAAAAUUUUAAUACACAGAUGUUUUCACAUCUGUCAGUGACAAUCCUUACUAAACUUUGAUACACAAGAAAAAGAUAUGAAACCAUCUCGAUAUUUUUGAAACCAGAAGCAUGCAUGUUUGUCAUCUGAAGACGGCACUCUGAGUGCACACCUUUUAUGCUACCAAUUUCUUGACAUUAGAAAUUUCUGAGCACUUUAAUAGGAUAAGAUACAAGACACAACGUGCCAAAUACAAUUACUUGACUGAGAGCAACAGAUAUUGAAACGGCAUCAUGCUCUUGUGGUCUUGUCCUGCAGAGCUGGGAUUAAUUGAUUAUGAAUAAUUUCUAGGCAAAAGUGUAAAAAUAUACAGUAAUGUUUGGGACAAAAGUGAUUUGGCAAGAACAUGCAUACAAGAGAAAUCUCACUUUAUUUCUCUCAGUCUUAAUGAAUUUCAAUUUGACAAUCUUAACUGUACUAUUUGUAAUGUCCCUAACCAAAAUUUGGCUACAACUUUGACCACCACAUGGCAGCUGGAAAGUCUUGACGUAGCUACUCGCCCCUUUCUUGAAGUAGUAACAAAUAUUAAAGAAUUUGCAACUAAGCUAAUCAUAUAGCUUCAUUCUAUGUCAUAUUUUUUAUAUGAAAAAUCUCUCAAAAAACAUUUUAAAACCUGUUUGGACUGUCAUUAACAGUUACAUAUUCGUAGAUAUCAGCAUCUUUUAUCACUCUACAAGAAAUGUUGUUAAUCAAGGAUCAUUUUUACUCUUGAAGAGCUAUCGUGUUUGUUUGUUUGUUUUCCAUAGGAAAUGAGCAUGGUGUCUUUCUGGGAGACUCUAGUGGUGAUGAGGGCCUCCUUCCAGCUGUUUCAGUCAUUGUAUGCUGUCCCAUUGACUAAAACACUGGUUGCCGUUUUUGGAACCAGUAAGAAAAACUUCAGACGUCUUCCUGUUUACUACAGCUGCUCCACGGGAUGGUGGUGGAUACGUCAGUGGUCACAAGCUGACCCUCAACAAGCUCACAGCUGAAUACAUCAUAAUGAUCCAUUCAAGAGAGUGCUGGGUGACCACCAUGCAAAUGUUUUAUUUGUUAUUAAAAUAUUCUUACAGAGUAUCAUCUCAUUCUUGAGUUAUUAUUGAUCCACAUAAAGAUAAAUCAUUAUCAUACAGUGAAAUUUGACUUUAAACGCCACAGAAUCAUGAUGCAGAUAUCAGAUUUAUUGAUGAAGAUGUUGAUUGUCACAUUUCCUGGAUUGAAUUUGUUAAAAAAAAGAAAAAAAAAGUGAAGAAUAUAUUUAUAUAAAUAAUGAAAUGCUUUUUAGGAAAAUAUUUCUGUAUGCAUUAAAAAAAAACCAAGUUUGAAUAUACUGAAUUCAAUCUGAUGUUAGUGUUUUUUCUUUACCCCCCUGGUUUUUAAUGUCAGAUUAACUUCAGGUUCUGUUAUGCAAAUUAGUGCAUCUGUUAAAGUCAUUAGUGGUGGUGCAUAAAGGAGAAGAUGAAGGGAAAUUCAACAUAUA